UACGUAGGGGGCAAGCGUUGUCCGGAUUCAUUGGGCGUAAAGAGCGUGUAGGCGGCCAGGUAGGUCGGUUGUGAAAACUGGAGGCUCAACCUUCAGAGGUCGACCGAAACCAUCUGGCUAGAGUCCGGGAGAGGAGAGUGGAAUUCCUGGUGUAGCGGUGAAAUGCGCAGAUAUCAGGAGGAACACCAAUGGCGAAGGCGGUUCUCUGGGCCUUACCUGACGCUGAGGAGCGAAAGCGUGGGGAGCAAACAGG
rnacentral:rRNA from 1 species